UACGUAGGCAGCAAGCGUUAUCCGGAUUCACUGGGUUUAAAGGGUGCGUAGGUGGGUCUGUAAGUCAGUGGUGAAAUCUCCGUGCUUAACAUGGAAACUGCCAUUGAUACUAUAGGUCUUGAAUUUUCUGGAGGUAAGCGGAAUAUGUCAUGUAGCGGUGAAAUGCUUAGAUAUGACAUAGAACACCAAUUGCGAAGGCAGCUUACUACGGGAACAUUGACACUGAGGCACGAAAGCGUGGGGAUCAAACAGG
rnacentral:rRNA from 1 species